rnacentral:rRNA from 1 species
UUUAAUACCGUAUACGCCCUUCGGGGGAAAGAAUUUCGGUGAGGGAUCGGCCCGCGUUAGAUUAGUUAGUUGGUGGGGUAAUGGCCUACCAAGACUACGAUCUAUAGCUGGUUUGAGAGGAUGAUCAGCAACACUGGGACUGAGACACGGCCCAGACUCCUACGGGAGGCAGCAGUGGGGAAUCUUAGACAAUGGGGGCAACCCUGAUCUAGCGAUGCCGCGUGAGUGAUGAAGGCCUUAGGGUCGUAAAGCUCUUUCGCCUGUGAUGAUAAUGACAGUAGCAGGUAAAGAAACCCCGGCUAACUCCGUGCCAGCAGCCGCGGUAAUACGGAGGGGGUUAGCGUUGUUCGGAAUUACUGGGCGUAAAGCGCACGUAGGCGGAUUAGUCAGUCAGAGGUGAAAUCCCAGGGCUCAACCCUGGAACUGCCUUUGAUACUGCUAGUCUUGAGUUCGAGAGAGGUAAGUGGAAUUCCGAGUGUAGAGGUGAAAUUCGUAGAUAUUCGGAGGAACACCAGUGGCGAAGGCGGCUUACUGGCUCGAUACUGACGCUGAGGUGCGAAAGUGUGGGGAGCAAACAGGAUUAGAUACCCUGGUAG